rnacentral:rRNA from 1 species
UACGUAGGGGGCAAGCGUUGUCCGGAAUCAUUGGGCGUAAAGAGCGUGUAGGCGGCCAGAAAAGUCCGCUGUGAAAACUCGAGGCUCAACUUCGAGCUGUCGGUGGAAACUUUCUGGCUAGAGUCCGGAAGAGGAGAAUGGAAUUCCUGGUGUAGCGGUGAAAUGCGCAGAUAUCAGGAAGAACACCCGUGGCGAAGGCGGUUCUCUGGACGACUCCUGACACUGAGGCACGAAAGCCAGGGGAGCAAACAGG